rnacentral:misc_RNA from 1 species
GAUGAAGAACGUAGCGAAAUGCGAUAAGUAAUGUGAAUUGCAGAAUUCAGUGAAUCAUCGAAUCUUUGAACGCACAUUGCGUCCGCUAGUAUUCUGGCGGGCAUGCCUGUCCGAGCGUCAUUUCAACCCUGAAGCCCCCGGGCUUGGUGUUGGGGAUCGGCGAGCCUCCGCGCCCGCCGUCCCCUAAAUCUAGUGGCGGUCUCGCUGUAGCUUCCUCUGCGUAGUAGCACACCUCGCACUGGGAAACAGCGCGGCCACGCCGUUAAACCCCCAACUUCUGAACGUUUGACCUCGGAUCAGGUAGGAAUACCCGCUGAACUUAAGCAUAUCAAUAAGCGGAGGA